rnacentral:tRNA from 1 species
CCUCUCAUGGCGUAGUGGUAACGCGCCCCAACUAGAGAUCGGGGAGUCGUGAGUUCGAUCCUCACUGAAAAGA